rnacentral:rRNA from 1 species
AUUGAACGCUGGCGGCAUGCCUUACACAUGCAAGUCGAACGGUAACAGGUUAAGCUGACGAGUGGCGAACGGGUGAGUAAUAUAUCGGAACGUGCCAAGUCGUGGGGGAUAACGUAGCGAAAGCUACGCUAAUACAGCAUACGAUCUACGGAUGAAAGCGGGGGAUCGCAAGACCUCGCGCGAUUGGAGCGGCCGAUAUCAGAUUAGGUUGUUGGUGAGGUAAAAGCUCACCAAGCCUGCGAUCGGUAGCUGGUCUGAGAGGACGACCAGCCACACUGGAACUGAGACACGGUCCAGACUCCUACGGGAGGCAGCAGUGGGGAAUUUUGGACAAUGGACGCAAGUCUGAUCCAGCAAUGCCGCGUGCAGGACGAAGGCCUUCGGGUUGUAAACUGCUUUUGUACGGAACGAAACGGUGAGCUCUGAUACAGUUUGCUAAUGACGGUACCGUAAGAAUAAGCACCGGCUAACUACGUGCCAGCCGCCGCCGUAA